UACGUAGGGGGCAAGCGUUAUCCGGAAUUAUUGGGCGUAAAGAGUACGUAGGUGGUUAUGUAAGCGUGGGGUGAAAGGCAAUGGCUCAACCAUUGUUAGCCUUACGAACUGCAUGGCUUGAGUGCAGGAGAGGAAAGCGGAAUUCCUAGUGUAGCGGUGAAAUGCGUAGAUAUUAGGAGGAACACCAGUGGCGAAGGCGGCUUUCUGGACUGUAACUGACACUGAGGUACGAAAGCGUGGGGAGCAAACAGGAUUAGAUACCCUGGUAGUCCACGCCGUAAACGAUGAGCACUAGGUGUCGGGGGAGCGAUCCUUCGGUGCCGUAGUUAACGCAUUAAGUGCUCCGCCUGGGGAGUACGCACGCAAGUGUGAA
rnacentral:rRNA from 1 species